UGNUCUGUCACUGACGCUGAGGCUCGAAAGCGUGGGUAGCGAACAGGAUUAGAUACCCUGGUAGUCCACGCCGUAAACGCUGAGUGCUAGGUGUUAGGUCCUUUCCGGGACUUAGUGCCGACGCUAACGCAUUAAGCACUCCGCCUGGGGAGUACGACCGCAAGGUUGAAACUCAAAGGAAUUGACGGGGGCCCGCACAAGCGGUGGAGCAUGUGGUUUAAUUCGAAGCAACGCGAAGAACCUUACCAGGUCUUGACAUCCCGAUGCCCGCUCUAGAGAUAGAGUUUUUCUUCGGAACAUCGGAGACAGGUGGUGCAUGGUUGUCGUCAGCUCGUGUCGUGAGAUGUUGGGUUAAGUCCCGCAACGAGCGCAACCCUUAUUGUUAGUUGCCAUCAUUAAGUUGGGCACUCUAGCGAGACUGCCGGUAAUAAACCGGAGGAAGGUGGGGAUGACGUCAAAUCAUCAUGCCCCUUAUGACCUGGGCUACACACGUGCUACAAUGGUUGGUACAACGAGUCGCAAGCCGGUGACGGCAAGCUAAUCUCUGAAAGCCAAUCUCAGUUCGGAUUGUAGGCUGCAACUCGCCUACAUGAAGUCGGAAUCGCUAGUAAUCGCGGAUCAGCACGCCGCGGUGAAUACGUUCCCGGGCCUUGUACACACCGCCCGUCACACCACGAGAGUUUGUAACACCCAAAGUCGGUGAGGUAACCAUUUAUGGGGCCAGCC
rnacentral:rRNA from 1 species